CGGUGAAGCCCAGCUUGCUGGGUGGAUCAGUGGCGAACGGGUGAGUAACACGUGAGCAACCUGCCCCUGACUCUGGGAUAAGCGCUGGAAACGGCGUCUAAUACUGGAUACGAGACGUGAUCGCAUGGUCAACGUUUGGAAAGAUUUUUCGGUUGGGGAUGGGCUCGCGGCCUAUCAGCUUGUUGGUGAGGUAAUGGCUCACCAAGGCGUCGACGGGUAGCCGGCCUGAGAGGGUGACCGGCCACACUGGGACUGAGACACGGCCCAGACUCCUACGGGAGGCAGCAGUGGGGAAUAUUGCACAAUGGGCGAAAGCCUGAUGCAGCAACGCCGCGUGAGGGAUGACGGCCUUCGGGUUGUAAACCUCUUUUAGCAGGGAAGAAGCGAAAGUGACGGUACCUGCAGAAAAAGCACCGGCUAACUACGUGCCAGCAGCCGCGGUAAUACGUAGGGUGCAAGCGUUAUCCGGAAUUAUUGGGCGUAAAGAGCUCGUAGGCGGUUUGUCACGUCUGCUGUGAAAUCUGGAGGCUCAACCUCCAGCCUGCAGUGGGUACGGGCAGACUAGAGUGCGGUAGGGGAGAUUGGAAUUCCUGGUGUAGCGGUGGAAUGCGCAGAUAUCAGGAGGAACACCAAUGGCGAAGGCAGAUCUCUGGGCCGUAACUGACGCUGAGGAGCGAAAGGAU
rnacentral:rRNA from 1 species